rnacentral:lncRNA from 1 species
GUAAAACUUCAAUAAUAAUAAUCAAUGCAAGUUGAUGCAACAGAUGAAGCUAAUAGGUUUUUAUGCUAUAAUUAUGACUAGCUUUGUACAUCAGCCCAGAAUUGUAUAUAUUUAAAGAAAAAAUUUUCGGGGUGGUCUAUAGCUGCCCCUGCGAAACAAAAGCCUUUUCAGCUUCGAUCUCGCCACUUCCAUCUUCUGAAGAGGAAGGUUGCACGCAUAAGCUCAUGUUGUAUAUAAAAAUUAACGAGGGCGACCGAUUGAAUAUUCCAGGUAGAUAGCAUGGCCUCCCCUAUAAAACACAAUUCGCACAACUGUUCCAUUCAUCAGUUCAGAAAAAUCGGACACAGAUGAGACCUUUUCGUUCAUCAUGACUACAAAAAGAAAAUGGCAGACUUGGUUGCAACACUCUCAGCUAUGUUGUUCUGACUUCAUAUUUUUACAACUACUCUCGUGUUUGCACUUAUGACAAAUGCAUAUCUGGAAAUUAUGACUAUGAACACUCCAAAUACAUGGAAAAACCUAGAAGAAGUUGUGAAUAAACUAGUAUACAAGAGUAACGUAACAUAGCAUUUUAGUGCUACACUACAAACACUAUCUACAAGAUGAUGUGUGCAACGAUGCACAAAAAGUAGUAUAGCCAUUACCUCUAAAAGAUCAAAUUACCUAUUAGCAGAGAAGCACGCUUUCUCACAGCCAUUAGCCACACUAAAUUAUUCAGCAGCAU